AGGCUGGGACGACCCAGCUUUUUAAUCUGUAUAUUCAGGGGACGACCCCA
rnacentral:ncRNA from 1 species